rnacentral:lncRNA from 1 species
AGAGCGCUGUAAAAGAAACUCGUGUGUACGUGUACAAAAAAAAAAAGAAAAAAAGUAUUAAAACUCAGUGCCAACAGACUGCGUGACUAUGCUCCUGGACCCCCAGCGCGGGUAUAAGCUGCGUGCGAAUUUUUUUAAGUACACUACGUCACUCGCUGGUAAUUUACGAACCGAUUGUGCUCACUGGUUCAUCAAGUCAAAUAGAACUCCAUUCGCGCACGGUCCACUGACGUUCCAAACAUCUAACCGCCUCAAAAAUCAUCGCGACUUUUCGUUAAUGUUUUUCUUGAUUUUUUAAUAUGAAUUGUGAUCUUCGCAAUUUAAGAGGGUCCGAUUAGAACUCCGAGUCCGAGGGGCUAAAGAGCUUUGUACGUUGUGAUGUUUUUUUAACGCUAUUCCCUACGAAAACAUGGAUUUCAAAUGGUUUUGGCGACGGAGGCUUUUCCUCUGCUACGUUAACGUGGUCCUGGGUUCAGCGUUGGGACGGGACGAGACGCCCGCUGGUCAUGAGUUAAUUCCCGUCAAAAUCGAAAACCCGAUCGGAAAAAUAACCGACAAAGACUUGAAGGACACCCCAUUGAGCUCGGAGGACCAAGACCCGGACAGCGCUCUCCAGAAACGGGACAUCGUCUCUGCCAUCACGGGAGCCGGUCUCGUCUACCUGAUCGCCAACAACCUCGGGAACUUGGAAACAGCGAUGAAGCCUCUCUUGGCCCUCUUCAGAAUGGUUUGUUUCAACGGCAGAGAACGACUCAAUAACGGCGGCAUCCUAUCCCACGACAAGCAAGAGAUCACGUGGGAAGGGAAACUCAUCGAAUUCCAGCACGUUUGCGACACCAACCGCAAUUCGGUGCCAGUCAAGGUGUUCGUCAUCAGUAUAAACAUCGACCAGUUUAUAAAGAUCAGGUGCAAGAGGAUUUUCUUCCGAAAGACGGAGCUGUGGCUGCCACCGCUGGGCCGGCCAGUUCCCCAGAAUCGAUGUCGCAGACUUCACCCCCUGAUGAGAGCCUUCAGAUUCAGAUACCGCGUUUAGACGCCCUCGAGAACCUGACGUCUUUACCUUGCCGUUAACGGGACCAGACGUCGUCGUCAGGCGAUUGUCGCACCAAGGAAGCAACACCGUGAACACGAAUAGGGUCAAAGGGCUCAAAUACUCCAGGUCCUCGAGAUCCGACAUCAACACGCCGCCAGAAAGAGCCGUCCUCAGAAGCUUGACCUCAAAACAUGAAGAUUCUAAACCGGAGGAAG